UGUUUUACUCAGAUAUUAAACGUGAAGGAUAACGUUGCUUUAGCAACGGCCCGAAGGGCGAGGCGAAGCCGAGUCAUCCUGCACGACCCACCA
rnacentral:sRNA from 1 species